GGUAAGUCUCAAUCUCAGCAAGUUUCUGCAAAAGAGAAAAAAGGUAAGUUCAGGAUCAGAUGAUCCUCAAAAAAGCAGGAUAUACAGGCAGAAUAUACAAGCAGGAUAUUAGAGAAGGAUAACCCACAGGGGCAAUGAUCCCUACCUCAUUGACAAAGUCAAGGAACUGCUGGCGGAUCAGGGGAAAUCCUUGGAGAUCCUCGGAAGUCUUCCUCUUCUUUCCCUUACCCCUAAUGGAUGCUUUAGGGGCUGAAGCGGAGGGACUGGCAGCAGAAGUCUUUCUCCUCGGAGACUUGACGUUGGUGAGAUCAUCUAUCCCAAACUUGGAGGCAGACUUGGCAGAUUUGACAGACUUCCCAACACCUACACAAUCAAAACAAGAUAACUUCCCUUACUAAUUAAACAAUCUAGCAUAUAACUUACUUUUUACAAGGAUACUUACUUGACAUAGUGGCAGAUGCGGAGGAUACUUCCUGUGAAUCUUGGACGGUGACUUGGAAACUUCUGACCUCAGGAUUGAGCUUUUUAAAAGCUAAGACUCUUUCUCUUGCAGCAGGGGUUAACUUAAGAUAAGCAAUGGAUAUAGCUGCACAAGAAAUAAAAAAGACGUUAGUGAUCCUCAUCGUAUGAGACAAGUCUGAUAGUGAUCCUUCCAGGAUCCUCUACCCUACCAUGAGUGGCCCAUUCCUUGGGCAGAUCCUUCCCAUCUGGGAUGGAAUCCCUUCUAACAAAGAAAAAGCGACGCUUCCAGUUUGUGUCAUUCUUAGUUAACCUUGAAGACAGGGUGAUCCUCCCCAGCUUUCCGUUUUAGCAGAUAUCGGCAAGAACCAAACGUGGUAAGAUCAUAAAGUGCAGCCAACUCUGCCAUCCCCAAAUCAAUUCCUUUCUGCUUGAUGAUCCUCUCGAAGGUAUACAGGACCCUCCAGAUCAUCGGCAUGGCUUGGAUAUAGGAGAUGCCGGUUAAGGAAAAGAAAGAUUGGGUGAAGGUUGGAAAAGGAUACGAGUACCCUAUGGUAAACGGAGUAGCAGGAAAAGCCACCCAGACGUCUGAAACAAAGUCGCUCAAAGCGGUAGGUGUGAAGGAUUUGAAAAUUGCGUUCGCCGGAAAGCAAUGACGAAUUCUAUCUACGUGAGCGUCAGUAAAGCAACACCUCUCCGUAGGAGAAUCCUUGAUGAUCCCUUGGCUUUUUAGGGGACUACUCUUCUUGGAAUCCUUGU
rnacentral:lncRNA from 1 species